UACAGAGGUGUCGAGCGUUGUUCGGAUUCAUUGGGCGUAAAGGGUGCGUAGGCGGCGCUGUAAGUCGGGUGUGAAAUCCUGAGGCUUAACCUCGGAACUGCAUUCGAUACUGCGGCGCUUGAGGACUGGAGAGGAGACUGGAAUUCAUGGUGUAGCAGUGAAAUGCGUAGAGAUCAUGAGGAAGACCAGUGGCGAAGGCGGGUCUCUGGACAGGUCCUGACGCUGAGGCACGAAGGCCAGGGGAGCAAACGGG
rnacentral:rRNA from 1 species